rnacentral:rRNA from 1 species
UACGGGGGGGGCAAGCGUUGUUCGGAAUUACUGGGCGUAAAGGGCGCGUAGGCGGCCUGCUAAGUCGGAUGUGAAAUCCCUCGGCUCAACCGAGGAACUGCAUCCGAUACUGGCGGGCUUGAAUCCGGGAGAGGGAUGUGGAAUUCCAGGUGUAGCGGUGAAAUGCGUAGAUAUCAGGAGGAACACCGGUGGUGUAGACGGCUUUCUGGACCGUAACUGACGCUGAGACACGAAAGCGUGGGUAGCAAACAGG